UGAGGAAUAUUGGUCAAUGGGUGCAAGCCUGAACCAGCCAUCCCGCGUGAAGGAUGACUGCCCUAUGGGUUGUAAACUUCUUUUGUAUAGGGAUAAACCUACCCUCGUGAGGGUAGCUGAAGGUACUAUACGAAUAAGCACCGGCUAACUCCGUGCCAGCAGCCGCGGUAAUACGGAGGGUGCAAGCGUUAUCCGGAUUUAUUGGGUUUAAAGGGUCCGUAGGCGGACUUAUAAGUCAGUGGUGAAAGCCUGUCGCUUAACGAUAGAACUGCCAUUGAUACUGUAAGUCUUGAGUAUAUUUGAGGUAGCUGGAAUAAGUAGUGUAGCGGUGAAAUGCAUAGAUAUUACUUAGAACACCAAUUGCGAAGGCAGGUUACCAAGAUAUAACUGACGCUGAGGGACGAAAGCGUGGGGAGCGAACA
rnacentral:rRNA from 1 species